rnacentral:rRNA from 1 species
UUUGUCCGGAUUAGCUGAGAGGUGGUGCGAUGGCCGUCGUCAGUUCGUACUGUGAAGCAUCCUGUUAAGUCAGGCAACGAGCGAGACCCACGCCCACAGUUGCCAGCGUACUCUCUGGAGUGACGGGUACACUGUGGGGACCGCCGCUGCUAAAGCGGAGGAAGGAAUGGGCAACGGUAGGUCAGUAUGCCCCGAAUAUCCCGGGCUACACGCGAGCUACAAUGGUUGGUACAAUGGGUAUCUACCCCGAAAGGGGACGGGAAUCUCCUAAAACCAAUCUUAGUUCGGAUUGAGGGCUGCAACUCGCCCUCAUGAAGCUGGAAUCCGUAGUAAUCGCGUUUCAACAGAACGCGGUGAAUACGUCCCUGCUCCUC